rnacentral:lncRNA from 1 species
AUAUGCUUUCAUACACGCUCAACAACGUUGGAAAAUAAACCAAAUACUUGGUAUCUUGUUAAUACAAAGAAAGAAAGUAUCAUAUUUACCAAAAAUCAAUCCAAAUCGUAACAAACUCAUCUUACUAAAUGAAAAAUAAAAAUCGCAAACCCAGUUAGGAGACAUCUGGAAGCAUAAAGUGAGGUGAGUUAAGCAUCAUUUUUAACAAUUCCUAUAAAGAAAAAAAGUAAAAUUGCAGCAUAUAUAUGUACAUAAGACAGUGUCUUUAAACCAUAGCCGACGAACCAAAAACCUCUUGUACUUCAACUUGCUCUACACUUUCUUCAAGGAUAGGUUCUUCGGACUUCAAAUUUUUGAUCUGUUAAAAUAACAAAUUUAUGUCAGUUUAGUAACAAAGAAUAAAUAACUAAAGAAGAAAAUGAACACUUUAAAGGAAAAAUGAACAGAUAACACCUUAAAUGGUGAGUAAACUUUUUUUAAUAAACUAUAACAAGAGGUUAAUUGUCGCUCGAUUACAAAGAUUACUAGCAGUAACAUGCAAAGAGAUAAAGAAAUUACAGUGGAGGUUGGGACAGGUAGUGAUGAUCGAUUUCAAGGGGAUUUGAGGCAACUGUUGGAUGCAAAAAAGUUGCAGAAGAUUGCUGAUGAAAGAGGCUUGGAAUCAACUGAAAUUAAUGGUAAAACUACACAUACAGCUGCUGCUACUGGGAUUGCCAUAGUCCCUAUUGAAGCAGCCGUAGGUAGGGAUUCUCAGGAGUUAGACAGGUGAGGUGCAGGCUGCUAAAAACUCUAAGGUUGAUCGAGGUGCUAAUUCAACAGCUACAGGAGUUGGCCAAAGUACUAAUGGUCAAGGACAAAUCAAUGAAUAAUAGGUCACAUGUUUGAGGGAGCAAGGAGUAGGGUACGUGAAACUGAUGAGCAUGUGAUCAAGAAUGCGGAGCAGACUGCCUUAGCUGGUGCUUCAUUCACUAAAGGGGCUGAUGCCUCAACUGUUGGAAAAUCUAAACCUCCAGCUGAUGUUCCUGCUACUACAGCCUUGGCAGGGCUUUACACAAGGCCGUGAAUUAAGCUUUACAAACUAAUACUAAGGUGGAUGGGAUUGGUGAUCAAGUUAAUACACUUACCAAAUCAGUCGGGGUGCAGACUAAUUUUCAGGAAGUUAGUGAGAAAGAGAGAACUGGGGUGCUCAAAACUGGAAAGCAGGUGCCCACGACUCAAGAGGCAUCUGUUGCAGUGCACAUAGAGGCAAAUGAUGCUUUAAAAUCUGGUGUUCAAUGUGUGCAGCAGUCUAAGGGAGGAGACUGGACAAUGAUAAAUCGAGCACACCUAUCACCUAGCAAAAAGAAUGCACCAAAAGUCCCAAAAAUCAGAGCACUGCUGCACAAAACAUCAGCUGUUCUAAUGCUUUUGAUACACCAGGUAUGAAGGAGAAGAAAGUUGGGAUACGUGAACCUAAUGUUACACCAAUUCAAAAUAUAGGAGCUGCUGAUGCGCAAACUGGGCGACAAUCAAAAGGGCGAUAUUGGACAGUGGUGACUCGAAAUCAUACAUCACCUAAUAAAAACAAGGCAUCAGGUCAUAAAAACCAGCCUCUUGGAGCAAUUUCUGCAGGUACUCGAUGUGAUGGUGUAAAGAACGUUAGCUGCUCUAAUUCUUUUGAACUGUUGCAUAAUGAGAAUGAACAAGGUUAGCUACUCUGUACGUAGUAUUUGUUUCAGUCAGUCCAAGGUUUGAAUCUAGACUGCUAAUGGAGAGAGUUAUUCAAAUCUUAAUCGACAUAGUUGAAGUUAAAAAGAGAAAGAAGAUAACUUAGAAAGGUUCAAGGUUGAUGUUUAUAAGUCGACAUAUUUGAAGUUAAAAAGAUAUAGAAUAGAACGCAGAGACGAGCAAUUUUCAUAAUAUGGUUUUAGAGAGCACUAAAAUCAGGCAUCAAAUGAUACUAAGUUAUCAAAUGGACACUGUCCACUAUAUCUAACAAAACACUAAAAAAUAAAUGACAUAAGAAAUCGAUGAUUUAUUUUUAAUCACAACGAACACAUCGAACUCGGUUUAGUAAGAUAUUGUCCAGAUUUCAGAAUUAAUUUAAAUAUUCUAUUUAUCUUAGUUAGGAAUGGAAUCCUAGACAUUAGCUUAAUUUUUGCAGUUUUCAAUUUUAAUGUGCUAUGCAACAAAAAAUAACUAUAAAAUCGACUUUGUCUAAAACAACACAGAAAGGGGCUGAUCCAUAUCAAUGCCAACUGGACCGUGCUCAUUCUUACAUACUGAUCUUUUGCACUACAAUGAAAUUGAAAACAGAGACAUACUACCAAAUAACUUAGCCAAUUCUCAUACCCCAUACCUCUGAUCAAAUUUGUAUAGUUUAAAACAAGAAACAAGUUUCACAAAAAAUUUCCAUUCAAACAGGCCAUCGUAUAUAAAAGGGAUGAGAGGCCAAGAUUGAAAAUCAACAAUGGAUCAGAUUGAAAUAAGCAAUUAACCAACAGACCUCGCCGUAGAACCAGACAAUAUAUAGAUAGAAAUAAUUUUUGUAUUUUGUGUCAUUCUUUCACUAAAGUGAACACCAACAUCCAUAUACAUAUAUACAAGUGUGAUCAUAACCCUAUAGUUAUACAACAGCUAAAAAUUAUCAACUUUAAUUUUAGGAGGACCGAUAUUUCGACAAUUAGACUUGGCACUCAGUGAAACUGAUAGUACGAAAUUGACAUUCAGAAUAAACUGUUAGAGAAAAAUGAUUUAAUCGUGACAGGAGAUAUAACAGUUGCUCGUUCAAAACAAAUAUCGCUCAACAGAUGGGGAGUCAAAUCACAAUCGAUGCUCUGGCCUCUCUCAUCCAUGAUUCUAGUUCAGAUGCCUUUUCUAGCGAAAUUAUUAAUCAAUUCGCAUAGAAAGGGGUAAAAUUUUGAACCUUACCUUGAUGAGAAGAAACUCGAAGAUGAGCAGUUGUUGUCAAUGGAGGUGACGAGCAACUUCGUUCUUUAAUUCGCUGAAUUUUACGAUUAGAGCAAUUUCUCUAAUUAUUUGAAUUCGUCGUAUAACAGUUCUCUAAUCCUUUCAAAACAGAGGUUUUACGAACUGUUACUCGGUUAGAGAAGUCUUAGGGUUUUUCCCUUUUUUUUUUUGGAGGGGGGAUGGGAUUUGGCGGAGAGUUGGAAAAAAAGAAAGGGAAAAGUUAGCG